rnacentral:rRNA from 1 species
UAAUACUAGCGGUCCAAGUCGCAGCCAUCUUUAUUGGGUAUAAAACAUCCGUAGCUUGCUUGAUAAGUUCCUUGUGAAAUCCUAUGUCUUGAGCAUGGGGCGCGCAAGGAGUACUGUUAAGCUAGAGACUGGAAGGCGUAGGAAGUACGACUAAAGUAGCGGUAAAAUGCUCUAAUCUUAGUCGGACUAACAAUAGCGAAGGCAUCCUACGAGGACAGUUCUGACAGUAAGGGAUGAAAGCUAGGGGCGCAAAACGGAUUAGAUACCCGUGUAGUCCUAGCAGUAAACACUGCACACUAAACAUUAGUACCUCCUCGAGAGGUAUUGGUGCUGCAGGGAAGCCGAAGAGUGUGCUACCUGGGAAGUAUAGUCGCAAGGCCG